GUUUUAUUAACAGGUUUCAUUAACAAGUUCCAGCAUUUUGCAGCCAGAUUGGAAAUGAAAUAUUGAAUAUUAAACCUUGACCUCAAAGAUCAUUUAAUAUUCAUCUAUUUUUAAUUAGAAAACAUAGAAAACACUGUUCUUUUCCUUUUAUCCACACUUUAACACAUGUAUCACUUUUACUCCAUUCAAACAAAAUGCCUUACAAUGUGUAGUAUAACAUGUUUCAUUGAAGUCCAAAGAGAUUUUACUGCAUUUCUUUUCUCUGGACAAGAAAUUAUUUUAUGAAACGGAAGAGAUUGGGCUAUUCCAGCAUGAUCUAUUUCUGGGUUGCUUAUUACCUCAUUCUCUAUUUUGUCUUUGGCUGUUCUUUGUUCCUUCAGAAUGUGAUUUCAAUUUUACAUAGUUUUAUGGAAAAGUGAAUGAAUCUACAUUUGUCUAGUUCUCUUCUUCCUGCUCAUGAUGUUCUUGCUUGACAAAAAAAAAAAGAGCAGUGAAAUGUGAAUUUGUGUUGUUCCAGAACCUGCCAUGAAACAGCGCUGCGCUCCUUUUAUUUGGGUGCAGGGUGGAUAUCUGUGCAACUCUGGUCUCUCCACAGGCUGCAGGGGAGCAACUCCCACGUCUGCAGAACCUCUGUCCCUCCUUCCUCCCUGGCCUGGCUGUUGCCAAGGUCGUUUCUCACACUUUUGCCCUCACUCCUCACUGCUGAGCAGCAUUUUGCCCUUACUCCAACAUGCUUUGCCAGUGGCAGUGCUGCUGGGCCUAGCCGGGCCUUGCACUGGGGCCUGGUGACAGCUGGGACCAGCCAGGAUCUGACAGAGGCCUCAUGGCCACACUGCUACCACCAAAACCUGAACACGUACACCCAGUGCAGAACGGUUUGGAGGAAACUGUCAUUCAUGAGACACUUCUGUACCUGCAAACACGUUCUUCCUGGAGACUGUGUGUUCUCUCUGAAGAGAGAGCUGUAUGUUAUACAGUCCCCUAAGAGCCUCUGCGUCUAUUUUCCAGUCCAGCUGAUUGUGCUUGGCUCUCUACCAUGUCACAAAUACCAGAAAGAAAUAAUUUCUUCAACCUCGAUUUCCAAAUCAUUGUUUGCACAGAAGGUGUCAGUAGUGUUUUUCCUGGUGCAGUUCUCCCUUGAGCUGCUGGUGGUCCACACAGGUGCAGGAAGAAGUUGAGCCCAGGCUGUUCUGCAGCAGUUAGAGCGAUUAGGGGCACCUGGUCUGUGUGCUGUUGCUUAUAUUAAAGAACAUACCUUUACAUCCUGCUGACUUCUUCAUUUCUGUGUGUUCAGUUUCACAAGCACAAGGUAAGUGGUUGGGCUUGUAUUUAAUCCCUUGCAUGAAGUGACCUUCCUAAAUUAAUUCUCCUGGGCAGUCCCGACUGAAUAUGGUGUUUAUGAAGUGUUAACAAGCCGGGUUGUGGAAGGAUGGAUGCUGCUGCAGCCAAGGCACUCUUGACUUUAAGUGUGGCAGUAUCUACAAUCUGGUAAAUCAAGUGCAAAAGAUAUCCUCCACUAAUGGCUCUCUAG
rnacentral:lncRNA from 1 species